CGCAUUUGAAGGCUUUAGGCUCAGCUUGCUGAGGAGGCAAACUCGUGCCCCUUCCCUAGCAGUACUUGCUGGAAAACUCCAUGGAUGUGGUAUUACCUGUACUGGGUCAGAGCAGUGAUCGUGGUGUUUUCUGUCGCUGUGGGACAACUGGUAUCAUUGCUGCAGAGCUUCUUGUUAACUUGGAAUAAUGACAGAUGGCUCUGUCUCAUCCAGAGGUUCGCAUAUGAAGCCAUUCAGGGAAACCGCAGUGGAAACCUAAUGCCAAAAUCAGCCCUCAAAAUCGAAUUAACCUUUAGGAAGAUCUUACAAGUAAGUGGCUUGUACCCUUCGAGGUAUUCUGUGAAUCAUUGGCAACAUGACUGGGCUAAUUUAAGCAUUUGUCGCAAAGGUAAGCUAGAGUCAAAUACAGUUCCCAAUUAGACGUGUGCAGGGGAAAGGGCAGGUAAACCUGCUCAGGUCUCUCCAGGGUGGCACUUCUGUGAGAGCCGGUUCUGGUCUGCCUUUCUGUCUUUGAUUUUCCUGUGCUGCAGCUGGGUGCUGCUCUGA
rnacentral:lncRNA from 1 species